UGCCACCAUAUGUGGAUAAUUUGUAAUAUUUUGUAGAGAUAAGGUCUUGCUAUGUUCCUCAGGCUGGUCUAGAACUUGUGGGCUCAAGUAAUCCUCCCAUAGUGGACUCUCAAAGGGCUGAGAUCACAGGUAUGAGAUACCAUGUCUGGCCCGAAAAAUACCAUUUCUUGACGGUAUGUCACAUUUUCUCAAGUAAAUCACCUUAACUGCACUGAAAAGCCCAAUGAUUCUAAAAUUUAGCUUGAGGAAUAAUCAUUAACUCGUUUAUUCAUUUAACCAACAAUUCCCUGAGGGCCUACGAAGUACCAGGAACUGUGCUAUAUAUUAGAGACACAAUAGUGAUUCAGUGCUGUGAAGGACAAGUAUCCAUAAAAGUGGAUAUUUGGCUUUGGAGAAUAUAAGGUUUUAUAUAAAGUAGAAAAAAUAUAUCACACUCAAUUUCUAAUAAUACUCAGGCAAGUCAUACAAUCUCAGUACUUUCCUCCUUUCAACUCAACUUUCAUUUAUUUGGUGGUAUUAAAAUACAUAUGGAAGAGACUUUUACUUCUUUUACAAAGAAUUAAACAAGGACAACUGCCUUCCCUCUGUAAACAACUAUAAAACUAGACAAAACAUAAAAUAAUUGUUUUCAGACACUGGACAAUAAGCAACAUAGGACUCUGAUCCUGGAAAAUGGGGAAAAAAUGAAGUGUGUACUAUAAUUGCCUGAGAUUAUGGCCUGGAAAGAGUUUUCAGGUUACAACAUAGCUUGGUAGUCUGAGUCGAGGAGACAGAGAUUAGGGAGUUUGCAGUCUAGAAUUUUAGGGCAGAGUACCAGAGACAAAGGAAAUGUACAGAGAGAGCUUCACAGAUUUGCAAAGACUCUAUAUUACCCAGGUUUUUGGCUGAGUAAUGAUUUGUACACGCGUGGGGCAAAACUACAAGGCUGAAGAAGAGAGUACCGCUGGAAAGCAGUAGAGUCCACACAGUGGUAAGGAAACAUGGCUCACAACUAGGCGAAAAAUCCAUCAACAGAAAUAUACUCAGAAAUGGCAGAUGAAGGAUUUAGGGAACGAAUUUAAAUCAGCUAUUACAACUAUACUCCAUAAAACUAUUUAUCAAUAAAAAGAAUAUGGAUUAGAUAGGAAGAAGCAGAAGUGUCUUAAUUUGCCAAUUACAUGAUCAUUUACACAAAAAUUCUAAGGAAUCUAAAAAAAGCUACUAUGAGUUUAGUAAGGUUAGUGAGUUGAGUAAGGUCACAUAAUACAAGGUCAAUAUAUAAAAAUCAAUUGUAUUUCUACAUGCUAGCAAUGAACAUUUGGAAAUUAAAAUUUAAAAAAGAACUAUUUACAAUAGUAUCAAAAAUACAAAAUAUUUAGGAAUAAACUGAAGUAUCAAUCCUAUGCAUUGAAAACUACAAAACAUUGUUGAAGUAAAUCAAACAAGAUCUAAGUAAAUGGAAUUCCACAUCUGUUGGCUGGAAGUUUCAAUACUGUAAACAUGUCAAUUCUCCCCAAAUUGAUCAACAGACUCAACACAAUCCUAAUAGGUACUAUGCUUUACAACAGAUCUCUAGAAAUUUUUCAUCUUGCAGAACAGAAAUUUUAUACUCAUUAACAAUUUUCCAUUUUUCCCUCCCUACAGCCCCAGCAAUCACCAUUUUAUUCUCUGCUUCUGGGAGUUUGACUAUUUUAGAUACCUCACACUCCUGUUGGGACUGUUUAGCACAAUUGUGACCCAAUGCUUGAGAUUUCAGACCUGAUGAUCUUGGUCUCUCUUCCGUGGGUCAGAAUUGGGGAACUUCAUCUAUGGUAGUAAAUGUUGGUACGAUUUCUUCUAGAACGACUACAGAAGAAAUUCAGCCUAUGUGACCUAAAAUACAGUUGAAUGAGUACUUACUGCCUUUCUGUUCUUACUUUUCAUGAAGAAGACAGGUAUUCUAGUGCCCUGUAGAGAAGGAAUUUCUGAAACGUGAAGGACUGUGUUUUACCCUCAAAGAGGCACUUCUGCACCUUCUUUAUCCUUAUUAGUUGUUCCUAAAACCUAAGAUACAGGUAUGGCAACUAUAAUCACUGUGAGAAUGCAUGUACAUAUAUAACCCGGGAAUCAAGCAAAACAAAACACCAAUUGUCCUCUCUGAAGAUCAGUACCCUUGAAAAGUUCCCACAAUUCAAGUUUAUACUUUCAGUUAUUUUCCUGAGGGACAUGAAAAUAACUGGAACAAAACAAAAUAACAGUUUGAAUUGUAUGAACUGUAUAAAGGAAUUCAGCACAAAGCCUGGAAGCAGAAUGCUUAUGAUCUGGUAUGAUUCACACCCCCUCUUUUCUACUUAUAGAAUGGCAGAGAUCAUAAAGCAAAACCACUGUAAAUUUAACUCGGAAUAUAAAGAGCAAUGUCAAAUGUCCCAAGUCUAUAGUUUAAGUGAUUAUAGAAAGAAAUAAUAGGCUUUACAAGUCACUGAAUAAACAACCUGGUUUAAAACAUUUUCAGAUUUGUUAAAAUUUAAAGGAAACUAGUCCUAUGUAUGGAUUUAAUAUUCAUAUUAACUUUUCCAAUAUCACUGGAGUAUCUCAAAACACUUUCAACAAUAAAGAUGAGAUUAACUUAUUUCCAAACAUAUGAAUAGAAUUUUUAAAAACCCUUUGAUGUAUCACUAGUACAAACAACAUGCAAUUACACUACACUUUAAUUUGAGACACACAGAAUGAAUAUGCUACCAAAGCAGCACGACAUACAGCACCAUGCUAAUAGUAGAUGACAAGCAAACCUGAAAAUUAGGGAUGACAGGUGUGAUGUUUUUGCAUAGAAGCAAUAGCUGACCCAGAAGGGCAGGCAUGGGUGGCCUUAGAGGGAAGCAGAUUGGGAUGUUAAUAAAAAUUGUAGGGGUAAGGAAGAGAAGGACAGGAGAAUUAAGCUACAAAGAUGUGAAAUACCUCCAUUUUGCCUAUGUGUUAUCCACGCAUCCAACC